AUAUAAAGUAACUCCUGCCCAGUGAAAUUUUAAACGGCCGCUUUAGUGCUAAGGUAGCAUAAUCACUUGCCCUUUAAUUGGGGGCUGGAAUGAAUGGAAUCACAUAAAUAUACUUUCUUUUUUACGCUUAUAAAAAUUAUUCUUUAUGUGAAAAAACAUAAAUAAAUUAAAAAGACCAAAAGACCCUACCGAGCUUGAAUUUAUAACCAUCUUUGUCAAUUAAAUUUUUAUUGGGGUGAUACUGGAUACCCAUCCUCUCUCUAUUUUAAUCUUAACUUAUUAAAUUUCGUUUUAGCUACCCUAGGGAUAACAGGCUACUCUUUUUUAAAAGUCCAAAUUUACAAAAAGACCCAGCACCUCGAUGUUGGCUUAAGAAUAUAUUAAGUGCAGCAGCUUAAUAAAAGGGCUUGU
rnacentral:rRNA from 1 species